rnacentral:ncRNA from 1 species
CAAGGUCUUGGUCUUAAACCUCUCGUUAUCUAAACUUCAUACUUAUACAUGCAAGCCUCAUCAUAACAGUGAAACUGCCCACUACAACAACUAGACGGAGCCGGUAUCAGGCUAAUAGCCCACGACACCAAGCAAUAAAGCCACGUCCCCACGGACUCGCAGCAGUAGUUAAUAUUUAGCCAUAAGCGAAAGCUUGACCCAAUAAUGAGGUUCUUUUAAGGGCCGGUUAAUCUCGUGCCAGCGACCGCGGUUAAACGACAGACCCAAGAUAACACCCACGGCGUAAAGCACGACUAAAACCACGUUAUCCUAUUAAGGGUAAAACUAUGCUGGGUUGUAAAAAACCAUAAGCUACACUAAAUAUAAACCUUAAUACCAAACAAAUUUGACUCGUGAAAGCUAGGACACAAACUAAGAUUAGAUACCUUACUAUGCCCAGCCAUAACCAAGUAGCCAAAUAACUAUCUACUCGCCAAAUAACUACGAGUUAUAACUUAAAAUUUAAAAGACUUGACGGUACUUCACACCAACCUAGAGGAGCCUGUCUAAUAAACCGAUAAUCCACGAUUAACCCAACCUACUCUAGCCCAAUCAGUCUAUAUACCGCCGUCGACAGCUUACCUUAUGAAAGAAACAAAGUAAGCUCAAUAAUAGCACACUAACACGACAGGUCGAGGUGUAACUAAUGAGUGGGAUCAAGAUGGGCUACACUUUCUAAUACAGAAAAAACGAACAGACUAUGAAACUAGAAACCGAAGGUGGAUUUAGCAGUAAGUUAAGAAUAAACACACAUAACCGAAGAUAAUGCAAUGAAGUGCGCACACACCGCCCGUCAUCCCUGUGAGACUUAAAAAAACAUCCAUAAACAACCGCCUAUCUAUUAAACAGGGCAAGUCGUAACACGGUAAGCGUACUGGAAAGUGCGCUUAGAAA